GCCCAAUGUGCCUUUUGGAAAUGCUGCCAUUCCAGAUAGCAGGGGAAACACAAAUCCAGCCCAGUUACCAUGGAAAUGUACAGUAUACCUCCAAAAUGCAAAGCCACCUGGCUGACCCAGAGAACUUCUUUGAGAUGAGCAUGGUAGCCCAAUAGCAAACAGCUGUCAAACAUCUCUGUGAUGACAGACUGCAUGGAAAGCAGAAGCCAGCACCACCAUCAGCUUAGUGAGCUGGAGAUGACCCAGCAAUCCUUUUCUUACACAACCCACCAAAGCUACUGCUACAACCAGUGGAGCUGGUUUUAGCAAGAGUGGAAGAUCUGUGGAGGGAAAGGAAAUGCUCAGAAGCCAAACAAUCUAAUGCAGCAUCUGAAAUGGUGCUGCAUGUCUUUUCAGUUAAAUGACUCUCAAUGCAAUGUUCACCCAGGGGUGUAUUUGUUGAUGGGACAGAGACUUAGGAAAAUGGCACUGGAAAGAAAUCAUCUCCUUGAGCAUCCUGCGGUGCCCAGCAGGAGAGGCCCCAACUGCCUCGUGCCUCGAAGUGGGCGCUGCUGUGCCCACCAGGAACAGGGCAGCCAUCUCAGCGCCAAAGCCAUCCCCACCUCCCACCGGCUGGAUCCAAGCCUGAUCCUGGGCAGCAGUUACACGGUCAGGGCUGCUCUGCUCAGAAACCAACACGAGACAUUACAAAAGGAUUUUUCUGAAGAUGUAAAACAGCACCCAGGGAACAACUCAGGAAGGAGGCAUCGAGAACUAAAAUGCUGGAAUUUGGGAAAGUCUCCAAAACCUCAGAAUUUCAUAUAUAUUUGGUAUAAGGCCUGAAGAUUGUUAUAAGAAUACCUGCCAGCUUUUGAAAAGUAUGAAUAGAGACAACUGGAGAGGGAAUAAGUGCCUGCCUUACAAUUCUGCUGGACUAUACCGGGCUCUGAGCCAACUUCUAAAUGGAAGUCAAUGGCAUUGCAUAGGAUGUAAGCCAGUGCCGACUUCAUUCUUGAAAAUUUCAAGAAAUUGCAGGGUAGGUAAAAAUAGAUUCUGUCUUUCGUAAUCUUUGCACGUGUACUUGGUGUUGCAGAAGAAUGGGAAAAUAUCUGAGGGGAAUAUCUGAGAGACCGAAUCACUCCAUACCUGAAGUUUAC
rnacentral:lncRNA from 1 species